UACGUAGGGGGCAAGCGUUGUCCGGAAUCAUUGGGCGUAAAGAGCGUGUAGGCGGUCCGUUAAGUCGGCUGUGAAAGUCCAAGGCUCAACCCUCGAAUGCCGGUGGAUACUGUCGGGCUAGAGUGCGGAAGAGGCGAGUGGAAUUCCUGGUGUAGCGGUGAAAUGCGCAGAUAUCAGGAGGAACACCUAUUGCGAAGGCAGCUCGCUGGGACGUUACUGACGCUGAGACGCGAAAGCGUGGGGAGCAAACAGG
rnacentral:rRNA from 1 species